rfam:Picea glauca, whole genome shotgun sequence.
GGGCAUGUAGCUCAGUGGUAGAGUAGCCCAUCAACAGGGGCAGAUCCUGGGUGAUCCUGGGUUAAAUUCCUAGCCUAUCCA